GGCAAGUUUUCUAUAUGUACGCUAUCGUAAUACGUGAAGUCUUGCUUGAGAAUGCUCUGGGCACUUGGCUGUGGAAGGUAGAAUGGAAAUUGCAACAACAAAAUCCUAAUUCUAAUAGAAUACUAACAAUGCUCUAAUUAGACCAUAAUAAUGCUAAGCAAGUUUUAAUCAAAUUCAAAGAAACUUCAAAUAAAUUUCAAAGAAAUAAUAAAAAACCUUAAAAAAAUAUUAGAAUGAUCACAAAUAUAUCUCAAAUACAUCUUAAUUCAAUCUUAAUUUAAUCUUAGUUAAAAUUAUAUUGGACUUCAUUCAAACUUUAGGCCAAACCUAAUUAAAUCUUAAACCCUAAACAAAUCCUAAUAAAAUCCUAAAUCCUAAAUCAAAUCCUAAAUCCUAAUCAAAUCCAAAAUCUUAAAUCAAACCUUAAUCAAAUCCUAAACCAAACCCUAAGCCCUAAACCAAAUCCUAACUAAACUCUAAAUCCUAAAUGAAAUCCUAACCAAACUCUAAAUCCUAAACCAAAUCCUAAACCAAAUCCUAAAUCCUAAAUCAAAUCCUAAAUCAAACCCUAAAUCAAAUCCUAAAUCCUAAAUCAAAUCCUAACCAAACUCUAAAUCUAAACCAAACUCUAAUCAAACCUUGAAUCCUAAACCAAAUUCCAACCAAACCUUAAACCAAAUCCUAAACCCUAAACAAAUCUUAAACCAAAUCCUAAAUCCUAAAUCAAAUCCUAACCAAAUUCUAACCCUAAAUAAAAUCCUAACCAAACUCUAAACCCUAAACCAAAUCCUAACCAAAUUCUAAAUCCUAAACUAAAUCCUAAUCAAAUCCUAGUAAUUUCUACAACAGAUUUAAAC
rnacentral:lncRNA from 1 species